UUGGGUUGAUCGAGCAAUCCUCAGACCUGAUCAUUCAUUAGUUAGAAUUACUAAGUAGGUUUAUAUUAAUGGUUUGACCUAACCAAAACUUUCAGUGGAGGUCUAUCACCUACUGAAAUGAAAUCUGGGGCUAAAUUAAUUACUAAAAAUUAUUUGGAAAAAUAAUUGGUUAAGAACCUACCCAUAGAUGCAUAUGUUGUG
rnacentral:lncRNA from 1 species